AAUACUUGUCGCUUUGAGUUUUUAUUUGUAACGUUUGAUCAUUCAUCUUAUUCAAAAAAUUAUGGAAUUAUUAUUUAUUUUUUUAACUUGUUUAUUAUCAAAAGUAUUUAAGUAUGACUUAUCUUUUUUUAUAUUUACACUAAUUUUUCAAAUAAGACGAAUGGUCAAAAAUUGCAAGCAGAAAGUCAAAGCGACAUCUAUU
rnacentral:pre_miRNA from 1 species